CCUACGGGAGGCAGCAGUGGGGAAUAUUGCACAAUGGGGGAAACCCUGAUGCAGCGACGCCGCGUGAGUGAAGAAGUAUUUCGGUACGUAAAGCUCUAUCAGCAGGGAAGAAAAUGACGGUACCUGACUAAGAAGCCCCGGCUAACUACGUGCCAGCAGCCGCGGUAAUACGUAGGGGGCAAGCGUUAUCCGGAUUUACUGGGUGUAAAGGGAGCGUAGACGGCAGCGCAAGUCUGGAGUGAAAUCCCAUGGCUUAACCAGGGAACUGCUUUGGAAACUGUGCAGCUAGAGUGCAGGAGAGGUAAGCGGAAUUCCUAGUGUAGCGGUGAAAUGCGUAGAUAUUAGGAGGAACACCAGUGGCGAAGGCGGCUUACUGGACUGUAACUGACGUUGAGGCUCGAAAGCGUGGGGAGCAAACAGGAUUAGAUACCCCUGUAGUC
rnacentral:rRNA from 1 species